GCAGUUAUAGCAUUAAGGGCAUGGGCGACAUGGUCUUUGUCUCUUACAAAAAGAGUAGUAUCAUCAGCCAGUUGGGAAAUGUUGAUUUCUUUGUUAGAAAUGGUUAAGCCAUACACAUUUGCAUUAUUCAGAAUAUCUAGAGAUAGAAGUUCCACAACCAAAAUGAAUAAAAAUUGGGCAUCCCUGUCGUACACUUCCGUUGAUACUGAAUCUUUUGGAAGUAUUAAGGUUUAGUAACACAGAACUAUUUAUAUCUUUGUAAAACAUGCAAAUUACUUUGAUAAAAUGUUCACCGAAUCCAAAAAGUUUAAGAGACCUAAAGAGAAAUUAAUGUUCAAUUGGGUCAAAGGCUUUACAGAAGUCCAGAAAUAAGACAACCGCAUCUGAGUCAAUUUCAUCUGAAUAUUCUAUAAGGUCCAAGACUAAACGAAUGUUAGAGCUUAUGUGACGGCCCUUCAUAAAUCCUGUUUGAGUCUCAUUUAUAAUGCAAUCUAUUCCUUUCUUUAAACUUUUGGCAUAAACCAGAGCAAUCAAUUUGUAAUCAAUAUUUAAUAAAGAAAUUGGUCUCCAAUUGUCAAUGAGACAAGGGUCUUUAUCGGGCUUCGGAAUCAAUGAAAUAAGGCCUUGUUUCAUAGUGGAGACCAUUUCUCCACUUUUAACGCAAUCUUGAAACAUAUUAAAAAUCGGGUCUUCUAGUAACUCCCCAAACUGUCUACAGAAUUCAACUGACAGGCCAUCAGGACCAGGGGAUUUCCCUUUUUUCAUUGAAUUCAGAGCCUCUUUAAUUUCUACAAUUGUCACAGGUCAAUUGCAAACUGAGUGGAAAUCAUCCUCAAUUACAGGGACAUAAUUCUGAAUGUGGCAAAUGUAGCUUUCACAACCAUCUUCCUGAAAUUGAGAGCUGUAAAGGUUUUCAUAAAAGGAAUUGACAAAUGAUGAUAUUGUAAUGGGAUCUUUGCAUAAAACAUUGUUAAUUUUGAGUGCAGUUAUAGAUUUUCUUUUGUAGUUUCUCUUUUCAAGUGCAAAAAAGUAACUAGUGUUUCUUUCCCACUCGUCAAUCCAUUUUGCUCUUGACCUUACAAAGGCACCCUUUGCCAGAUCCGUGUAAAGCUGUUCUAAUUCUAGUUGUAAAGACUUGGAUACAGACUCCUCUUCUUCAGAUAGAUUGUCUUUCUUUAGAAAACUGUCAAGUUUGCUCAUCAUCUCUUUUUCUCUAAGGUUCUUUAAUUGUAUCAGCUCUUCGGCGCGUUUAAUGGCUACCACUCUGACUUUAUAUUCAAACAAUUCCCAUCUACUUCCAUGACCCAAGUCUUUUAAUGCAAAAAUAUAUUUAGCUUACGAUUUGAUGUUUUCAAUGAGAGUAGUAUCUUUAAGAAGUGUUUGUUUAAUUUCCAAUAUUUCUAAUAUACCUUUUGGUUUUUUAGUAGCUUGUAAAUUCAGGGAAAUCAAGUGAUGAUCAGAAAAGGGGGCCAGCUGAUUAUCUACAUCUAUAACAAAUUGUAACAAAAAGGGUGAAAUCAGGAAUAAAUCUAUUCUAGAUUUACGUUACAUAGUUUUGUUGGUCCAGGUAUAACCCCUUGCAUCUGGAUUGAAAUAACGCCAGGCAUCCUCAACACAGAGAUCCUUGCAUAAAGUAGUGAUAAUAUUGCUAUUUUGAGGGCUUUGACUCAUUCUAGGAAGAAAACGAUCAGCAGAUGCAUCAGGUGUUUCAUUAAAAAAAACAUAAAUAAUUAGAAAAGCCUCUGAGUAUUUGAUGCUUAAAUCCUGUACUUUCCUGGUAAGUUGGGUAAAAAGGGUCUUAUUUGGAGCAUGUGAGUUAUGUCCGUAUACAUUACAAAUGAUGAAAAUAGCAUUGUCAAGUUUAAGAGUUACUAUGACCCAUCUCCCAUCUUGUGAAGAUGUGGAUUCUAGAACGUCACCUUUAAACUUGUGAAUAAGUGUCAAAACACCAGCAGAAUGAUUUGAUCCAUGACUGAAAUAGGCCAUAUCUCCCCAUUGUGCUUUCCAACAUUUCAAAUCACUUUCACCCGAAUGAGUUUCCUGAAGGACAAAAUCUGCGUUACUGCGUUUACAAUAUAAAAAUAAAGCUUUCCUUUUUGUAAGAUUUCUCAAACACCUAGCAUUCAGACUAACGAUAUUGAGUGAAUUGAAAACGAACUCCUGCAUUAAAAAAUAACACAAAUUAGAUAACAGAAGUAGUAAUGUGAACAAUAAAACAAACAGUGAACCUUGAGAGGGUUACUUCGAUGGAAAACUACACUCAGCUGAGGUAGCGGUGGUUAACAGUAUAAUAAAUCUAUUUACUUCCUUUUUUUUUAAUUUUUUUUAUUUGGCAAGUGUUCAUCAGUUGUAGUUCGAACAGUACAUUUAUUCGUGGUAGUACAUUAACUGUACUCUUGGCAGUUCCAGUUUGGUUAAUGUCAACAGAGUUACCCAGUAAUCAUUCUUCAUUCGAUAAACGCGUGUGGGCCCUUGAACCCAGCCUUCUUUCCCUCUUGUCGAGCCUUCUGUAUAAGCGGCCAGUUUCUCCCUGGAAGCCUGGUCCUGCGGUAUCAGAGCUUCUUUGAUGCGGAGCUUCUUCUCAUCCAGAAACGUGUUCCCCUUGGCCAUUCUCCAGAUGAUGUCCCUGUAAUGGCGCAGAGUUAAGCGCAAGAUGAUAUUGCGAGGGGGUCCAUCAGAUCUUUGUUUCCCAAGUCGAUGUACCACAUCAAUCACGUCUCUUAGCCUGUCUUUGAUGCACGGAGCCACCUUUCCCAGGAUAUUAAUACAUGUUUCCCUAAUAUCCUCUCCCUCUUUUACACCUUGGAUUUUCAGAUUCCACCUGCGAGAGUACCUUUGAAGUUCAGCUACAUUCUCACACAGCUCAUUAUUUGGGAUUGUAUUUUCUUCAACUCAUUCUCUAGGAACGUUAUAUUUUGCCGACGUUUACUGACACAUUCAACCGUUGUUGCUGGAACACUUGGAUGAGAGUGCUC
rnacentral:lncRNA from 1 species